rnacentral:rRNA from 1 species
AAUGAACGCUGGCGGCGCGCCUAAUACAUGCAAGUCGAGCGAGAAGACGUAGCAAUACGUUUGUAAAGCGGCGAACUGGUGAGGAAUACAUGGGUAACCUACCCUAGAGUGGGGAAUAACUAGCCGAAAGGUUAGCUAAUACCGCGUACGCUCCUUGGACUUCGGUUCAGGGAGGAAAGCGAUGCCGAGGGUAUCGCGCUCUUGGAUGGGCUCAUGUCCUAUCAGCUUGNGGUGAGGUAACGGCUCACCAAGGCUUCGACGGGUAGCUGGUCUGAGAGGACGAUCAGCCACACUGGCACUGCGACACGGGCCAGACUCCUACGGGAGGCAGCAGUAAGGAAUAUUGCGCAAUGGGCGAAAGCCUGACGCAGCGACGCCGCGUGGGGGAUGAA